UACGUAGGGCGCAAGCGUUGUCCGGAUUUAUUGGGCGUAAAGAGCUCGUAGGCGGUUUGUCGCGUCUGCCGUGAAAGUCCGGGGCUCAACUCCGGAUCUGCGGUGGGUACGGGCAGACUAGAGUGAUGUAGGGGAGACUGGAAUUCCUGGUGUAGCGGUGAAAUGCGCAGAUAUCAGGAGGAACACCGAUGGCGAAGGCAGGUCUCUGGGCAUUAACUGACGCUGAGGAGCGAAAGCAUGGGGAGCGAACAGG
rnacentral:rRNA from 1 species